AGGUUCAGCUGUAGCAUGAG
rnacentral:piRNA from 1 species